AGCGAACGCUGGCGGCAUGCUUAACACAUGCCAGUCGCACGGGCAGCAAUGUCAGUGGCGGACGGGUGAGUAACGCGUAGGAACGUGUCCUGAGGUGGGGGACAACCCCGGGAAACUGGGGCUAAUACCGCAUAUGGGCUGAGGCCCAAAGCCGAGAGGCGCCUUGGGAGCGGCCUGCGUCCGAUUAGGUAGUUGGGGGGGUAAAGGCCUACCAAGCCUGCGAUCGGUAGCUGGUCUGAGAGGAAGACCAGCCACACUGGGACUGAGACACGGCCCAGACUCCUACGGGAGGCAGCAGUGGGUAAUAUUGGACAAUGGGCGAAAGCCUGAUACAGCAAUGCCGCGUGGGUGAAGAAGGUCUUCGGAUCGUAAAGCCCUUUCGACGGGGACGAUGAUGACGGUACCCGUAGAAGAAGCCCCGGCUAACUUCGUG
rnacentral:rRNA from 1 species